GUGGGGAAUCUUCCACAAUGGACGAAAGUCUGAUGGAGCAACGCCGCGUGAGUGAAGAAGGGUUUCGGCUCGUAAAGCUCUGUUGUCGGGGACGAAUGUGCAGUAUUUGAAUAAAGUACUGCAAUGACGGUACCUGACGAGGAAGCCACGGCUAACUACGUGCCAGCAGCCGCGGUAAUACGUAGGUGGCAAGCGUUGUCCGGAAUUAUUGGGCGUAAAGGGAGCGCAGGCGGGAAGGUAAGUCGGUCUUAAAAGUGAGGGGCUCAACCCCGUGAUGGGAUCGAAACUAUCUUUCUUGAGUGCAGGAGAGGAAAGUGGAAUUCCUAGUGUAGCGGUGAAAUGCGUAGAUAUUAGGAGGAACACCAGUGGCGAAGGCGACUUUCUGGACUGUAACUGACGCUGAGGCUCGAAAGCCAGGGGAGCGAACGGGAUUAGAUACCCUGGUAGUCC
rnacentral:rRNA from 1 species